rnacentral:rRNA from 1 species
UUAGGAAUAUUGGGGCAAUGGAGGAAACUCUGACCCAGCGACGCCGCGUGAAGGAAGAAGGUUUUCGGAUUGUAAACUUCUGAUCUGUGGGAAGAAGAAAGUGACGGUACCACAGGAGAAAGCCACGGCUAACUACGUGCCAGCAGCCGCGGUAAUACGUAGGUGGCGAGCGUUGUCCGGAAUAACUGGGCGUAAAGGGUGCGUAGGUGGUCAAUUAAGUUAAAUGUGAAAGCCCGGGGCUCAACUCCGGAAUUGCAUUUAAUACUGGUUGACUAGAGUACUGGAGGGGUAAACGGAAUUUCUAGUGUAGCGGUGGAAUGCGUAGAUAUUAGGAAGAACACCGGAGGCGAAGGCGGUUUACUGGACAGCAACUGACACUGAGGCACGAAAGCGUGGGGAGCAAACAGGAUUAGAUACCCUGGUAGU